CGACUGACUGGCGAUGGUGCCCGCCCGGAAGACGACUUCCGAACCGCCACAAGGCUGAUGGCCCCUGCGAACGA
rnacentral:ncRNA from 2 species